GACGAACGCUGGCGGCGUGCUUAACACAUGCAAGUCGAACGGAAAGGCCCUGCUUUUGUGGGGUGCUCGAGUGGCGAACGGGUGAGUAACACGUGAGUAACCUGCCCUUGACUUUGGGAUAACUUCAGGAAACUGGGGCUAAUACCGGAUAGGAGCUCCUGCUGCAUGGUGGGGGUUGGAAAGUUUCGGCGGUUGGGGAUGGACUCGCGGCUUAUCAGCUUGUUGGUGGGGUAGUGGCUUACCAAGGCUUUGACGGGUAGCCGGCCUGAGAGGGUGACCGGACACAUUGGGACUGAGAUACGGCCCAGACUCCUACGGGAGGCAGCAGUGGGGAAUAUUGCACAAUGGGCGGAAGCCUGAUGCGGCAACGCCGCGUGCGGGAUGACGGCCUUCGGGUUGUAAACCGCUUUCGCCUGUGACGAAGCGUGAGUGACGGUAAUGGGUAAAGAAGCACCGGCUAACUACGUG
rnacentral:rRNA from 1 species